rnacentral:rRNA from 1 species
UACGUAGGGGGCGAGCGUUGUCCGGAUUUACUGGGCGUAAAGGGUGAGUAGGCGGUUAUAUAUGUCAGGUGUAAAAAGCUAUGGCUUAACCAUAGUAAGCACUUGAAACUGUAUGACUUGAGUGCAGGAGAGGUAAGCGGAAUUCCUAGUGUAGCGGUGAAAUGCGUAGAUAUUAGGAGGAACACCGGUGGCGAAGGCGGCUUACUGGACUGUAACUGACGCUGAGUCACGAAAGCGUGGGUAGCAAACAGGAUUAGAUACCCCUGUAGUCCCUGA